UACGUAGGGGGCUAGCGUUGUCCGGAAUCAUUGGGCGUAAAGCGCGUGUAGGCGGCCUGGUAAGUCCGCUGUGAAAGUCGGGGGCUCAACCCUCGGAUGCCGGUGGAUACUGUCGGGCUCGAGUACGGAAGAGGCGAGUGGAAUUCCUGGUGUAGCGGUGAAAUGCGCAGAUAUCAGGAGGAACACCAAUUGCGAAGGCAGCUCGCUGGGACGUAACUGACGCUGAGACGCGAAAGCGUGGGGAGCAAACAGG
rnacentral:rRNA from 1 species